AAGAGUUGGACACAACUUAGUAACUAAACAACAAGAGUUUGUGAAUAAAUGUUCUUUCAAGUUAAGUCAUUCAUUAUUUAUGACUUAGGGAUAUUAUAGUUAUUCCUUGCUGAUAAUCAUACCUUGAGCAUCACCAAAAAAAAUGACAAUUAUCGUCUUGGUAAUGUAUUGAUGCGUGAGUGCAUACUAAGUCGCUUCAGUGGUGUCCAACACUUCGUGACCCUAUGAACUGCAGCCCACAAGGCUCCUCUGUCCCUGGGAUUCUCCAGGCAAGAAUACUGAAGUGGGUUGCCAUGCCCUCCUCCAGGGGAUCUUCAUACCCAGAGAUCAAGCCCUCAUUGAUAUUCUUUGUUAAAGCAAAAUGUUUUUUUUCUCUUUUGAAGAAGGGUGUGUGUGUCUUUGGGGGUUUGAAUGACUUUCCAGAAACCCUGAUGGCCCACAGUCAAGGUCAAAGCAUAUAAUUGAUCUUGUGUAUCAGGAAGCCUUUUUUUUUUUAACUCUAUUAUUCAGUAUGCUAAAGAACUACAGUCAGAGGAACUUAGAGUCAAAAAUAAAGCCAAAGAGCUUAGGAAAUGUUUACUUUUCUCCUGCUAAUGAGGACCUGGAACAGAGACUGGAAUAAUCCCUCUAAACUCCUUAACAUUGGAACAAGUCUCUACUUACACCACCCGUUAUAGCGCUGCACACCUGCUCUGCUUUCUCUCAUCCUUUUUCUAUUUCUUUCCUCUGUUGUUAGACAUCACCUACCUCCUCAGAGGUCUUUAACAUCCCCUUCAGAUACUCCAGGACCACAACAACCAGCCACUGAGCCUUUUAGAUCUCCCUGUACACAAUUUCAAACAACCCUGUUCAUUAAAACAAAGGGAGAUCAUUAUAAAAGAAAAUGCCAGACGAUUCAUUUCACCAAUAAGAAGCAAACUGUUUCUCUAGUAGAAAUUUCCAGCAGCAAAUAAAAUUUUUAGAAUUUUCCAAAGAAUCCUUUUAAAGUUACUUCUUCAUAAGUUGCUUUAACAUGUUGAAGAAAACCAAAAAGGUACAUAUUAUUUUUAAGAAAAUGUCUCCUGAAUGAAAAAGAUAAUCAGUUCUCUUGGAAAACUUGAUGAAAUGCAAUUUAUUUUUUAUCAAUGCCACAUUAUUUUUGAUUAGAUGUACAGUUUAUUUACUAUCUCAGAAAUGUUUUUAUUAUAUUAAAAACCUAAUUAAUUUGAAGAGUUGAGUCACUACAGCAGAAUUUGGUGCUUUUGUGGUGGCUCAUUCAUUUCCUGAUCAGGGGAAGAAGGAAAAUGUGAAUUCAAUCAGCACAACUAAUAAGCCCAGAAGUAGAAUGUGUGUAUUUACAUUUUCCAUUGAAAAACACUCUUAUGGGGGGGGGAGGAAAUCUAGAAAAUUCCCCUUCUCCUUACCUUUUGUUAGUUGCAAAAUAAACGUGUCUCCAAGAGUAAGGAGUUGCUGGGAGUCGGUUUUGUCUAGAGCCCCUCCCCAACCAAUAGGCAUGGACCACCAUCUCUGCCAGCAUUUACACUGCCUGGGAGACGAGCCGAGGGCAUACCACCUUCAUCUCUACAUCAGUCUCUUUGAAUUUCCCUCUGAGGCUCUGCUCCUUUUCUGUCUGUCUCUUCUGUUAUAAACUUUGGUUUGAGUUAUAGCAAAGCACUAUCUUGUUGAGGUUAAUAAAGGAAACUAGGGAAGAACUACAGUCUCCAUAAAACAACCCAAGCUUGCACUGAGCUACCUCCAGGAGAGACAGCAGACAUGCUAAUCGAUGAAGCUGUUGGAACACCACGGACUAGGAACACAGUGGACCCCUCUCCAGCACUGCAGAUCCUGCGGAUCAGAACCCUCCUCCUGUUACAGCAACCACGUCCACCUCGCCUCUGGCAGCUACAUGUCACCACUAGGUCUCUGCUGUUCCAGACCCCUCUCACCUCUGCUGAAACCAGGAAGCCCAGUUUCUCCUGCCCAUCAACCCUGGUCUACAAAAACAGCCACUAUUGAGCUUUUCUGUGUUGCAGAAGCCCUCGGUAGUGCCUUCCUCAUCGCUUUAAUGAAGGGAGGAUCCUCUGAAGUCUCCAGGUGAACAUAUCAGGGCCCCUCUCUGAGGCUUUAGUCCUCAAAUACUCUGCUAGGACAGUCUGGCGUCUUCUCUUCAUUCAUGUACGCCACCAUUUCCCCCAAGAUUUAGGGAGCCAGCCCAAACACACACUGGAAUGAAAUCCAGGUGCCCUAGUGAGGAUGCUAGUCCUGAGUCAUGGGAGAAUGCCCAAGAAGCUCUUCUUGAAGUGAGAAAGUGUUAGUUGCUCAGUUGUGUCCAAAUCUUUGUGACCCCAUGGACUUUAGCCCACCAGACUCUUCUGUCCAUGGAAUUCCCCCAGCAGGAGCACUGGAGUGGGCAGUCAUUCCCUUCUCCAGGGGAUCUUCCUGGCCCAAGGAUCGAACCCAGGUCUCCUGCAUUGCAGGUGCACUCUUUACCACUGAGCCACCAGGGAUAUACAGGCUUAUAUUCUGCCACCCUCUCCUUCAUCCCAUCUGACACUCUCAAGAUCCAUUCCCAAGCACAUUUCCCUGAUCCCUGCCUGCUUUAGUCAAGUCCUGAGGUUCCUUCAAUGGAAAAUCUCAUUCCUCCCACCAGAGGGAAUGUCCUUCCCCAGCUGGGUCACCCUGAGUCUUGACCCUAAUUAUCCACGUAGAAUAAAUGAGGAGUUGUGGGUGGUGUGUAAAGCAGCCUCCUCGGACAGGGCCUCGGCCUGGUCUCCGAGCACCAGGAGGUUGGCCUCUUCUAGGAAGAAGGAACAGCCUUUUUGGUGAGGGAACCUCAAGCUCAUCCAGGGGUGGUCCCCACUGCAGUCUCUGUGACCCACUACUUCCCUGUGAGGAACUUAAGGACAGGAGAUUGCCAGGGUGAGAAACUCAACCUUUCUGAUGAUUCAACUCAUCAGUUCAACUUAUCCAAUUAGGCCUGAGGCCUGGUUUUCAGCACCUUCUGCCCUCCAUCUUCAGGAGAAGAGAAUCUCUUCAAAUGUGUCUUUCAUGCCAAGCCCCAAGUACUUUGAUUGCACUUAACAACCAAUCAAUCCCUACAGUCCUGAUCAUUACCAUGCUUCCCACAUCUCUCAGAUGUUGUCAAUGUUGUAUUAACCCGUACAUACCUUUCCACACGCACCCCAUCCCAAUUCAACACAGCAGAGUCUUAGUAACAGUGUUACUAUAGCACCUCCUACAGCUCUGGAGGCCAGCAUUACUACCUAUGGCAUUCUGGCUAAGUUUCCCAGAGAUACCUCUGGGGAUUUUAUCCAUUGGCCCCCUUAGGUUCACUCCCCACCUUUCUCCAACCUGCUUCUUGGGUGGCCACCAUUUAUGAGCUGAACCAAUGGGCUCCCCAAUUCUCUGCCUUCCCUUUUGCAGAUCAGGGCACAGGAGCAGAGUGAGGUUGGAGUAUUUGCUAACCACCUUCCUCCCUCCCAGGCCUCAUAUUGGUAGCGGCCACAUCCUCCGAUGAAAAAUCACAACCCCUGUCAAAGAAUUCCUCUCCUACAGUUCUCUUUGAGAUCUGAAAAUCACUUUCUCCUGGUCCUUCAGCCUACGCUGCCCACAGCUUCACACAAGUGUUUGAGUGUCUUACCACCCCCUAGUUGGUUUCCUUAAUUCUGUCUUCAUGUUUGUAAACAGCCUCUUCAUUUAAUUCUCCUCAAUAUCCCACUGCAGUAUAGUAUUUGUUUCCCACCAGGACCCUUACAGAUGCUGCAUGCUCAGUCAUGUCCAACUCUCUGCCACCCCAUGGACUGUAGUCCACCAGGCUCCUCUGUCCAUGGGAUUUUCCAGGCAAGAAAGGGUUGCCAUUUCCUUCUCCAGGGGAUCUUCCCGACCCAGGGAUUGAACCCAAGUAUCUUGCAUCUCCUGCACUGGCAGAUGGAUUCUUUACCACUAUGCCACCUGCUACAGUCACUUUUUCUCAAAUUCUGGCAAGCCCUUACUGCUUCCACUUUUUUCCUCUAAGUUUGUUUUAGAAGCAACUCUUUCUCCCAGAAACUCCUGAUGGAAGUUCUGAGGGAUUGGUUGAAAACCAUCCAGUCUUAUCCCUAAUCCCCUUCCUCCACCCCAGUGGCAACGGCAGGCAUUUACGUACUUUUCACCUUAGAGUGACCCUCUUAUCUACCAACAGAUCUGAAGGCUGGGUGGAUUUUGCUCAUGCCCUUUGUUCUGGGAUGUCCACCUCAGCAUCCCAAUCCUAGACCAUCAAUCCUAGCAUUUGCUUUCCUGUUUUCAUGGAGACUCAUUGAUUCCUCAUUCAAGGAGGACCCCUGGUUCCUAGUGAUGAAAUGCCAGGGAUGAGAAUACAGAUUGAGCCACCUUUGGGACUUAUGGUAUCCUGUCAUCUGUCUGUAUUCCUUACUGAAUAUGACAUCCUAAAUGUGCAAAUAAAAAUAACCUUGCAAUUCA